UACGUAGGGUCCGAGCGUUGUCCGGAAUUAUUGGGCGUAAAGGGCUCGUAGGCGGUUUGUUGCGUCGGCUGUGAAAACCCGGGGCUCAACCCCGGGCCUGCAGCCGAUACGGGCAGACUAGAGUUCGGCAGGGGAGACUGGAAUUCCUGGUGUAGCGGUGAAAUGCGCAGAUAUCGGGAGGAACACCUGUGGCGAAAGCGGCGCACUGGACCACAACUGACGCUGAGGCGCGAAAGCUAGGGGAGCAAACAGG
rnacentral:rRNA from 1 species